UGGUCAUUUGCUUAUAUUUGCUCUUG
rnacentral:piRNA from 1 species